rnacentral:rRNA from 1 species
CUUCUAUAUAUCUUACACCUGUGAACUAUUGCCUUCGGGCCAACAAACAUAAUGUAACGAAUGUAAAUUAUUAUAACAAAAUAUAACUUUCAACAACGGAUCUCUUGGCUCUCACAUCGAUGAAGAACGCAGCGAAAUGCGAUAAGUAAUGUGAAUUGCAGAAUUCAGUGAAUCAUCGAAUCUUUGAACGCAAAUUGCGCCCUUUGGUAUUCCGAAGGGCAUGCCUGUUUGAGUGUCUUAUAAACCUCACCCUUACUGUUUGUUCAGUAAGCGGUGCUUUGGGUGCUGCCAUUGGCUCGCCUUAAAUACCUAAGUGGAAUGCGUUAUAAGUUUUCGCACCCCUCCACUCUAAUACACUUUAUACUCUGACCUCAAAUCAGGUAGGACUACCCGCUGAACUUAAGCAUAUCAAUAAGCGGAGG